CUUGUUCAUUUAAAUCGGAUUCUGCUGCCAGAGAGCUACAGUGUAAAAUUUUCUGAGAAGUGUACAACUCAUUGUCUUGUUAAAAACACUCAAAUCCACUUCCUCUUCAUUACUUAUUUAAUAAAGUGGGAGAAAGGAGAAAACUUAUGUUCUGAUUUUUCCAACUUCCUUUUAGCAGUACGAGGAUAGAAAGUAGAAUUAUUUUAUCAUCAGCAGACACUUGGUGACCUGUCUUUAACUGGAAAUAAUGUUAGAAAAAGAAAGUCAGUUAAACAGAUCAGCUUCUUGAAUUCUCUGCUUCUCCCUCUCUGGCCUCACUGCUGAAGAAUUAUUACAUGGCAAGGCCUCAUCAACCAUAAACAUAUGUGACAAUACAUCUCUUUUUCUUUUUUUCAUCAUGUCAUUUCAUUCACUCUAAAGCUGGAAAGUCUUUAUUACACAGCUACGUAUUUCUCCCCCCACUGUAAUGAUGCCAUUGCAGACCUUAAAUUUCUUUUGUAUUUAUCACAAUAUUACAAACGAUAGCAAGUAUCAAGUUUGCAACCUUAUAUGACAAAGUUAUCUUCAACACUUGUGAUUUUCAGCACCAUUCAAAAAUCUUUGCAUCUCGUUUGUCAGAAUAUUUUGUGGAAAUAAAAAACCCGACAGCACAGAACCUUCCAUCGCCUGUAACAAUGUUAUCCUUAGCACAACUCUGAGGCAGAAAGCACUUGUAGUCCUACUCUGCAUCACCCAUGUAGGCAAAAAGAAAUGGAGGCAGGGCGCGAUAAAAACCUGCUACCUGGUCCCUAGAAAAGCAUGUUACAGCAGUGAAUUCUAGAGUUUCGACCUCCGGUGAAGACACCGGGGGAAGUCGGGACUUUGUGAACAGCAAUCGUGGGCACCCAAGAUGUGCUGGAAGUACUCAGAGCUGGCAGGAGCACUGAAUUCCCCGGGGCACUGCUCUAACUGCAAUUCUCUGCUCAAAGAUGUGCACAAUCACUGGCUGUAGCCAUAAUCUAGCGAUAGCUGCUGCUGUCGUUGGCGAAUCCUGCCCACGCAGCCCAGCUGUGUUCAGGCUGCAUCCUUCGAAGGCUUCAGGGAAGGAACCCCGGUGUCCUGCAGGAGGGAAGGAAGGACGCAGCUCCUCAGGCAGAAGCAGGCUGGGGCAGCGGGGGCACAUUGCCCUGGAUGUCCUGGGAGCUCUGGGAAUCCAAGAUGGGCUUAUGGCCUCGGCUGCUGUGUCACAGGAUGCAGCAGAAGGCACAGCAGCGCUCGCUCGAGCAGGGGAUCGCGGCUUUCAGAGCAGGGGAUCGCGGCUUCCACCUUCGGCAUUGCAGCUCCACCCAGCUCCCACGUCGGGCACCCAGCCGUCUUCGCCAAGACAACCAGAGGUCACGCAGAGAACCGAGGGCAGAUCAUCCGAGUCCCAGACUUGCGGUCUAACCCAGUGGGUUAGCAUCCACUAGCUAUUUUAACAAACUGCCAAAUUUCACCUUUGUAGGCCUCGAAUUACUGCAUUGUCUGCACUUACACCACCUGGGAAAAAAAAAAAAGAGAAGCCUAUUGCCCAAAUGGCAGUCAGAAGACUGCGGAAGCAGGGAUUUUGGCGGCAGCUACAGCAAAGCCCUAGCUUCACGGAAUAAAAAAGUAAGGUUUGUGAAGCAUAUCCUAAACAGCAGGAUCGUGUUACAUUUGGGGAUAAAUUAUUACUUAGGCUUGAAAGAGUCGUUAUUCC
ensembl:lncRNA